rnacentral:sRNA from 1 species
GUCAAUCAAAUCGGACAACAGAGCUCAAGAUAUCAAAUCGGAAUAUCAGUUUAUAUCGGAGCUAUAUCAGGUUAACCAGGAAACUAUAUGAAAGGAAUGGCAGUUAUAUAAAAAUAAAUUCAUUUAGCUCCAAUAUAUAUAUUUUCGCGAUAUUUGCCACGAUAUUUUCCUCUAUGAACACCGUAAUGUUAACUAUAUACAUGUCAACCCGAUUUGACCUCAAACCGCCAUAGUAUGCUCAAUAAUUAUGCGAACUACAAGAAA